CUUGGUCAUUUAGAGGAAGUAAAAGUCGUAACAAGGUUUCCGUAGGUGAACCUGCGGAAGGAUCAUUAUCGAAUCGUAGGCGAGGGUUGUCGCUGGCCUCUCGGGGCAUGUGCACGCCCGAGCCCUUGAAUCCCAAACACACAUGUGAACCCACCGUAGGCCUUCGGGCCUAUGUCUUAUCAUAUAAUCCGAAUGUCUAAUAGAAUGUAAACCCAUUUCGUUGCCUUGAAAACGUAACGAAAGAAAACUAUACAACUUUCAACAACGGAUCUCUUGGCUCUCGCAUCGAUGAAGAACGCAGCGAAAUGCGAUAAGUAAUGUGAAUUGCAGAAUUCAGUGAAUCAUCGAAUCUUUGAACGCACCUUGCGCUCCUUGGUAUUCCGAGGAGCAUGCCUGUUUGAGUGUCAUGAAACCAUCAAACUACAAUCGUUUUUUAUGAGCAAUUGCCUGUUUGGACGUUGGAUGCUUGCUGGACAGUUGCAUGACCCAGCUCAUCUGAAAUAUAUUAGCUGAUCUUAAUAUCAUGGAUUAUCCACUUGGCGUGAUAAGUAUCACCCGCUGAGGACUUAUCCGGAAAUAAUAGAUUGCUUCUAGUCAUAGAUACAACUAUUGUAUUAUAUUGAAUCAUCUGACCUCAAAUCAGGUAGGACUACCCGCUGAACUUAAGCAUAUCAAUAAGCGGAGGAA
rnacentral:rRNA from 1 species